CGUAGGCGGUGGGUUACGUCUGCCGUGAAAUCCCCGGGCUCAACCUGGGAAUGGCGGUGGAAACGGGCUGACUAGAGUAUGGGAGAGGGUGAUGGAAUUCCAGGUGUAGCGGUGAAUGCGUAGAGAUCUGGAGGAACAUCAGUGGCGAAGGCGGUCACCUGGCCCAAUACUGACGCUGAGGCGCGAAAGCGUGGGGAGCAAACA
rnacentral:rRNA from 1 species